GUAGGCUGAAACUCGCCUACAUGAAGCUGGAGUUACUAGUAAUCGCAGAUCAGAAUGCUGCGGUGAAUGCGUUCCCGGGUCUUGUACACACCGCCCGUCACACCACGGAAGUUGGGGGCGCCCGAAGCCACUUAGCUAACCCUUUGGGAAGCGAGUGUCGAAGGUGAAAUCAAUAACUGGGGUGAAGUCGUAACAAGGUACC
rnacentral:rRNA from 1 species